GAUGAACGCUAGCUACAGGCUUAACACAUGCAAGUCGAAGGACCGGCGCACGUGUGAGUAACACGUAUCCCACCUGCCCUUUACUCGGGGAUAGCCUUUCGCAAGAACGAUUAAUACCCACUGUAAAGGAUGGGGAUGCGUUCCAUUAGGUUGUUGGUGAGGUAACGGCUCACCAAGCCUUCGAUGGAUAGGGGUUCUGAGAGGAAGGUCCACGAAAUUGGAACUGCGACACGGUCCAAACUCCUAGGGGAGGCAGAAGUGAGGAAUAUUGGGCAAUGGGCGUUAGCCUGAACCAGCCAAGUAGCGUGAAGGAGGAAGGCUUAUGGGUCGUAAACUUCUGUUAUAUAAGAAUAUGUAUUAGAUGAAUAAGGAUCGGCUAACUCCGUGCCAGCAGCCGCGGUAAUUC
rnacentral:rRNA from 1 species